GACGGAGGAUGCAAGCGUUAUCCGGAAUGAUUGGGCGUAAAGCGUCCGCAGGUGGCAGUUCAAGUCUGCUGUCAAAGACCGGGGCUUAACUUCGGAAAGGCAGUGGAAACUGAACAGCUAGAGUAUGGAAGGGGCAGAGGGAAUUCCUGGUGUAGCGGUGAAAUGCGUAGAUAUCAGGAAGAACAUCGGUGGCGAAGGCGCUCUGCUGGACCGCAACUGACACUCAGGGACGAAAGCUAGGGGAGCGAAUGGG
rnacentral:rRNA from 1 species